UAGGGUUAGGGUUAGGGUAAUUGUUUGAUUUCCUGAAAUAAAAAUGUCUCGUCUUGAGGAGGAAUGGGAGAAUCCGUUUUUAACGUUGGAUGAUGGAAAAUUCGAGAUCACGGUGGAGUACAUCACCGAGUCUAGGCCCAUCCGUAUGCUUUGGGAGCAUAGAUGGGUGGGUGAGUUACCUGCCCCAAUCGAAGGCAAAAGCAGCACCAUCAUUAGAAAGGCUCUUGAUUUCUGCGAGGAACGUGGAAAUAUCAAGAAGCAGCAUUGGAAAGAUAGAAACACCCUCCAACAAAAGUUGAAGCUUUUCGAUGACAAGUUUUUUCAAGCCAAUCAUUCCGAUGCUACUGAUCUCGCCGAUGUGGCUUGUCGUUUGCAGAUCAGAAGCCUCUAUCACCUGAUGAAAGAAUGUGCUGCUGAAAUGCUCGCUGAGAAGACUCCUGAUGAGAUUCGCGAGCUCUUUAAACUACGUUAUGAGGCAGAUGAAACUACUGCUGCUGAUGACUUACGUAAGAUGAAAAGGGUGGUCAGCAAUGCUGGUUGGGCUUUUCGACCUCUCUCUAGCUUUUUAAAUCCUGUGGUUUCAGAUGCUUAAUAUGUAUUGGUGAUUAAUUAGGAGUCCGAGAGCUUUGUAAUAUCAUGAUGUAGAUAAUGCAAAACCAAAAGAACAAGAAUUGCAUUAAACACUAACCCCACAAAUGCCCCGAUUUCUUGACUGUCUAUUUGAAGCAGCAUUGGAAAGAUAGAAACACCCUCCAACAAAAGUUGAAGCUUUUCAAUGACAAGUUUUUUCAAGACAAUCACUCCGAUGCCAUUGAUCUCGCCGAUGUGGCUUGCUGUUUGCACAUCAGAAGCCUCUUUUGUCUGAUGAAGGAACGUGCUACCGAGAUGCUCUUUGAGAAGACUCCUGAUGAGGUUAACGAGCUCUUUAAAAUACGUUAUGUGGCAGAUGAAGCUACUGCUGCCGAUGACUUACGUAAGAUGAAAAUGGUGAUCAGGAAUGCUGGUUGGGCUUUUCGGCUUCUCUCAAGCUUUUUAAAUCCCGUGGUUUCAGAUGCUUAAUAUGUAUUGUUGAUUAGGAGUCUGAGGGAAUAUAUAAUAUUUAGGGUUUCAUAGUGAUCUAGCCACUUUGUACAUCCUUUGAGUAUAGUAUAUCAAGCAAAGCAAAAGAACGAGACCUGCAUUAAAGACUAAUCCCCCAAAUGUCCCGAUUUCUUGACUCUGUCUAUUCGAAGCCAUGAAAAAUGAUGAUCGCAAUUGCAUGAAACGUGAUUCCAUUACUUACUUAGUACUGUGGUUCAAUACUUCUAUCUGUGUGUAGCCAUGGCUGAUCGGUUGAUUUACAAAGAAAAUACUCUGAAGAGAUGAAGGAACAGAACAUUGGACCAUCACAAAUGCACUAUGUUGAUUUUUUGGGUCAGGAUGGGUGAAUGGGGGAGGCUUUACAGUGUAUUCUUGAGUUGAAAUUAGGAAAGGAAAGAAUGUAAGUGAAAGUAAAAUAACUUUUAGUUGGGUUCUAGAGUGUCUUUUGUACAGUAUUAAGAAAAGAACUGAUGUGAAGAGAAUUGAAUGGGUAUUCACUAUACAAUUUGCUUUAAAAUC